AUGAUAUAUGACUGAUGUAGUUUGUCUUCAUUUUGCUUAUGUUACUAGUCAUUCACAUUUACUGCUGUUUUGCAUCUGCAGGUCUCAUGAGUUUUGCAAGAUUGGAUGCACUUCAUCCCUAUUUCACUGAUGGGAUAACUGAGACACAAAAACGGUGCAUACACAGUGGGAGCAAGGAGUGGCUGAGACUAUUUAGUCUUUUUUUCUGGUUCAGACCACAGGAACACAGGAAAUUAAAGAAUCUGCUUGAUUGCAGUGGUACAAACCAUGAGUCUCAUCCAAGACAUGUACUAACAAGAAGGCUAUCAUUAUUUGCAACAACUGAGAAGAUAAUUAGAAACCUACCAAUGCUACAGUCAUAUUUCCUGUCACAAGAAGAUGAUGACACACCAAAAAUGGAUUUGGAAAUCUUUGCUGACAGUAAAAGUGGGAAGAGUAUAGCAUGAACCUCCUCUGAUAUAAUUAUAUUACAGUAUUCAGCAAUCAUGAUUCUAACAUAGCUGUAACAAUUGCAUUCCUGAAAGCACAAAGCCUGCAUCUUGUUUCAAUGGAAGCUUUGCCUGAGUAAGGACAGUAGCCCAUAGAGUUUUCAGCCUUUGAAGACUACAAUAGCUUAUUUUAGGCCAUGAAUUCAGAUUCUUCACAACCAUCAGAAAAGCCAAAGACUGUAAUAUAAAAUUUGGACAAAGUUAAAUAUCUUUAUCUAGGGAUCUACUUUUUUGUUUUUGCUGGCUUUUUUAAAGCUGCAGAAAACUACUUCUGGGAACUGAAUAUGAUAUUUUGUUCUGCUUAUGGUAUUUUCAGUAUAUUCAUUUCUUGCAUGUUAAAUGAAAACAGUAAGCAGAUUUUUAGUGGAUGUAAGUCAGUUUUCUUUAAUGGAACUAUGCCAGUUUACAAUAGCCAAUAGAUCUGGCUCUAGAUCUCAUAUCACUUUGCUGGGAUGCAUUAAAAAAAUCUAGUAGAAAAAUGUGAACAUAUAGGCUAAGUGCAGACAGUCAGAAAGCCUAAAGCUGAAUUGAUUCAAUCUUUGCAGGUUAGUCUAAAUUGCAUAGAUUGGACCAAUAAGUGAACAGACAUUAAUGUCUGAUUCUGGAAAUGCAUCUACAUGCCUGCAGUGGCCCAGGCCACAAGCUGGGGGUGGGGCGCUAGGGCACAUCUCCCUGCUUAGCUUGAGCAAACAGUGUGGGCCAAGGCUACCCCGCCCACCCUGCUUGGGGUGGGGGGCUUGCGGGGGAGGUGCAAAGCAUCCUGGGAUGCUGGGAGACUAUGAGUUAGCUGGAAUCUGGAGGGGACCUGGGACAGAAUUUCAAUAAACUGAUUUAACGUAAAUCA
rnacentral:lncRNA from 1 species